GCAGGUCUUGGAUGUCGAAUGCUAUCCCCAGCAGCCUCAAAUCUACAAAGCAGUGAUACAAUCACGCACCCGCCACCAGCUGAGCAACUGAGAAUACCAAGUGUUCACCAGGAUACCCAGCACCCAGAGGCAUCUCACUUUGCUGGUGGGAGUGCACUUUUUUUCUUUUUUUUUUUUUUGAGACAGAGUCUCGUUCUGUCGCCAGGCGGGAGUGCAGUGGCGCACGAUCUUGGCUCACUGCACCGUCCGCCUCCUGGGUUCUGGUGAUUCUCCUGCCUCAGCCUCCCGAGUAGCUGGGACUACAGGUGCCCGCCACCACGCCCGGCUAA
rnacentral:lncRNA from 10 species